GACGGAGGAUGCAAGUGUUAUCCGGAAUCACUGGGCGUAAAGCGUCUGUAGGUGGUUCGAAAAGUCCACUGUUAAAAAUUGAGGCUUAACUUCAAAGAUGCCGUGGAAACUUUCAAACUAGAGUAUGGUAGGGGUAGAGGGAAUUUCCAGUGGAGCGGUGAAAUGCGUAGAUAUUGGAAAGACCACCGAUGGCGAAGGCAGGUCUCUGGGCUGACACUGACGCUCAUGCACGAAAGCGUGGGGAGCAAACAGG
rnacentral:rRNA from 1 species